rnacentral:rRNA from 1 species
GCAUAUCAAUAAGCGGAGGAAAAGAAACCAACAGGGAUUGCCCCAGUAACGGCGAGUGAAGCGGCAACAGCUCAAAUUUGAAAUCUGGCCCUCGGGUCCGAGUUGUAAUUUGGAGAGGAUGCUUUUGGCGCGGCGCCGUCCGAGUUCCUUGGAACAGGACGCCAUAGAGGGUGAGAGCCCCGUACGGGCGGCCGCCUAGCCUUUGUAAAGCUCCUUCGACGAGUCGAGUAGUUUGGGAAUGCUGCUCAAAAUGGGAGGUAAAUUUCUUCUAAAGCUAAAUACCGGCCAGAGACCGAUAGCGCACAAGUAGAGUGAUCGAAAGAUGAAAAGCACUUUGAAAAGAGGGUUAAAAAGUACGUGAAAUUGUUGAAAGGGAAGCGCCUGUGACCAGACUUGCGGCCCGUGGAUCAUCCCGGUGUUCUUCACCGGUGCACUCCGCGGGCUGCAGGCCAGCAUCGGUUUUCCUAGGGGGAUAAAGGUCGCGGGAACGUAGCUCCCUCGGGAGUGUUAUAGCCCGUGGCGUCAUGCCUCUGGGGGGACCGAGGACCGCGCUUCGGCAAGGAUGCUGGCGCAAUGGUCACCGGCGACCCGUCUUGAAACACGGACCAAGGAGUCAAGCAUUGGGGCGAGUGUCUGGGUGCCAAACCCGCACGCGAAAUGAAAGUAAACGCAGGUGAGAGCUUCGGCGCAUCACCGACCGAUCCUGAUGUUCUCGGAUGGAUUUGAGUAAGAGCCUUACCGCUUGGACCCGAAAGAUGGUGAACUAUGCCUGUAUAGGGUGAAGCCAGAGGAAACUCUGGUGGAGGCUCGCAGCGGUUCUGACGUGCAAAUCGAUCGUCAAAUAUGGGCAUGGGGGCGAAAGACUAAUCGANCCNUCUAGUAGCUGGUUACCGCCGAAGUUUCCCUCAGGAU